rnacentral:rRNA from 1 species
AUUGAACGCUGGCGGCAUGCCUUACACAUGCAAGUCGAACGGCAGCACGGGUGCUUGCACCUGGUGGCGAGUGGCGAACGGGUGAGUAAUACAUCGGAACAUGUCCUGUAGUGGGGGAUAGCCCGGCGAAAGCCGGAUUAAUACCGCAUACGAUCUACGGAUGAAAGCGGGGGACCUUCGGGCCUCGCGCUAUAGGGUUGGCCGAUAGCUGAUUAGCUAGUUGGUGGGGUAAAGGCCUACCAAGGCGACGAUCAGUAGCUGGUCUGAGAGGACGACCAGCCACACUGGGACUGAGACACGGCCCAGACUCCUAUGGGAGGCAGCAGUGGGGAAUUUUGGACAAUGGGCGAAAGCCUGAUCCAGCAAUGCCGCGUGUGUGAAGAAGGCCUUCGGGUUGUAAAGCACUUUUGUCCGGAAAGAAAUCCUUGGCUCUAAUACAGUCGGGGGAUGACGGUACCGGAAGAAUAAGCACCGGCUAACUACGUG